rnacentral:lncRNA from 1 species
GGAGCCAGGCAGGGUGCAGGGAAGAGGUGGAGACGAGUGGCCCGCGGGGCCAUUUCAGGCGCCUAAUGAAGCACCAGUCUAAUCUAAGCAAUGUUGUUGUUGUUGUUUUCUCUCUUUUCUGAAAGCCGUUUCCAACCUGGGCCUCGGAGAGGAAGGAGUCAAGAUGCCAGGAAGAGAAUCUGAGUGGUCUCAUCCAUGGCCUCCCACGCUGCCCCCUCAAAGGCUUCUGUGCUGCAAGAGCAUCACUGAGAGCUAGAUGGUGCUUGGCUGACCAUGUGGUCUGACUGUCCCCUCCUGCAUGAGGUGUUGAGAACUGGAAGAAAAAAGGAACAGGUGAAGUGCCAAAGUGAAAUAGAGCCCGUGAGCUGGCGAUGGGACUCGCAGGACCUGGAACUGGGCCAAGGAGGCUGGACUUCUGAGCAGAGAGGUUGCCCAGCUGGAGCUGGCACUUAGGGAGCCUGGGGAAGGCUUCGCUGCGCUGGAACCAGACCUCUAAGGAAGGGUGCUGAUGGGCAGACAGCUUUCGGAACCUCAGGAUCUCAAAGGCUCACAGAACUGGGGCCCAGAUGUCUGAGGAGAAGGAGGUGCGAAACUGGCGGGUGCUAGUGUUUCUGAAAAGCAUGAUGCCGCUGGUCCGACAAUGAGGGACAUAUCUGGAACCCGCAGCUGUGCCACAGGGAAGGGUCGUUACUGGAGGUAAAGUGACAGACAGAACAGAGGAAGCAGAAGCUCGCCUUCAUCCUGCCUCCCCCUUCCCUCUAGCAGCCCUGUUGGCAUAAACUCACAGAACGCGGCCUGCCAAGAGGUGCAGGGUGCAGUUCAUCUCCAGCCUCACCAGAGGGGCGAUUCGGAGGGAAGCACUGCAGCAGAGCACCCGCACAAAGCCACUGUGCUGGACACACACCUGCAGUUCCACACAGCACGACAGCUGGAUCAUUUGGCCUAAUAAGAGGAAAGUCUCCUUUUUCAAAUGAAGACCUCUUGCCCUCUCUCCAAAAAAAAGUGGGAGACAUAAAACAAAACAGGAUUCUGUGAAAUCUGCAUCCUUUGAAGAAUUACGUUAAAAGAAGUCCCGAGGUGUUGGUAGCCGCCCCACAGCGGGCAGGAGGAAUCAGUCCGGGAUCCAGGAACUCUGAGGCCUCUCUUAACUACUCUGUCACACGGUGAAAGUUAAUGGAAAAUGACGGCCACCACAGCAAGUCAGGGCCUCAGAGGAUUCAGGAAAGAAUCAAAUGAACCUUCAAGAAUGAAAGUUCUGAUUAUUCUAAUAGUUAAAGAAAGCAGCUAGCUAAGAUUCCAGGAGAGGGCAAAGGGCUCCUGGAGCGGGACAUGGGAGAAGGAAGUUAGUCCUCGGUUACGGAAACUAGGACUGUGGCAGCUACUGUGAAUCAAACACAUAUGCAUAUGCAUGUGAUUGUGCGGGUUUCAUUUCUUUUNUUUUUUAAUCUUUUUAGGGCUGCACCUGUGACACAUGGAAGUUCCCAGACUAGGAGGCGAAUUGGAGCUGUAGCCGUUGGCCUACACCACAGCCACAGAAACACUAGAUCUGAGCCACAUCUGCAACCUACACCAAAGCUCACAGCAACGCCAGAUCCUUUAACCCACUGAGCAAGGCCAGGAUUCGAACCUGCAUCCUCAUGGAUGCUAGUUGGGUUCGUGUAUACAUGUGUAUACAGGUGCCCAUCUAUCAUCUAUUGACCUGUCAUCUAUAUACUAAUAUUUUCCUCUCUUCUUAUUCCUCAUUAAUUUACAUAAGGGCUGCGGGUGGUAGGUAACUUUAUGAUUUAGUCUUUAAGUUACAGAAUAUUCAGGUGGGAUAUUGACUGAAUUUGGGGAAUAAUUAACACUGUCUCAAUGAUACAUACACUGAAUAUUAUUACAAUGAACCAAACUGAUAAAACUGUUUUUUGUUUUUUGGUUUUUUUGGUCUUUUUGCUAUUUUUUUGGGCUGCUCCCAUGGCAUAUGGAGGUUCCCAGGCUGCCUGGGAACCUCCAUAUGCCGCGGGAGCGGCCCAAGAAAUAGCAACAACAACAACAACAACAAGACAAAAAGACAAAAAAGACAAAAAAAAAAAAAAAAGAAAUGAAUAGAACAUAUAAGUUUAAAAACUGAGUAGAGGAUAGGGUUAUGAAUGAUCUGGAUUAUUUUAAUUUGCUUUCUGUGCAUUUAUCAUAUAUUGUACAAGAAAAAAUAUUAACAUUAAUUUUACUCAGGGAAAAUGGUAAUUUUAAAUCCCCAUUAUUUAUUUAGCUGGUAAGCUCAUUUGCAGGAAUUUUCAGUAACAGAUAUUUAGGACACUAUUGUUUAUAGUAAUGAAACUUCAUGAGUAAGCUGUCAAAAACAAGAUUAAUUAAACCACUCCAGGAGUUCCCGUCAUGGCGCAGUGGUUAACGAAUCCGACUAGGAACCAUGAGGUUGCGGGUUCGGUCCCUGGCCUUGCUCAGUGGGUUAACGAUCCGGCGUUGCCGUGAGCUGUGGUGUAGGUUGCAGACGCGGCUCGGAUCCCGCGUUGCUGUGGCUCUGGCGUAGGCCGGGAGCUACAGCUCCGAUUGGACCCCUAGCCUGGGAACCUCCAUAUGCUGAGGGAGCGGCCCAAGAAAUAGCAAAAAGACAAAAACAACAACAACAACAACAAAAAAAAAACCACUCCAUUCCAUGAUGGAAUAUCAUGGAGAUAUUAAAUAAUCACAUUUUUGAAGAAUAUUUAAGGACUUGGAAAAGAAUUCAGAAUAUGUUACUAAAAAUUAAUAUUUUCAACUACAUAUACCCUCUGUUUCCAGUUUUGUAAAAAUAAAUUGUGAAGAUAAACACAUUUUUCCACCCACAUCUCAUUCCUCACAUAUAACAGGGAGACACCAAAAAUAUUAAAAGUUGCUCUAUCUAAAUAGUGAAAUUAGGGUUAUGUUAAUUUAUUCUUUUUGUUAUGUUUCCCAAUUUACCAUGAGAAAGACGUUUGUUUUUUCUUCCAGGGACAAUAGGUUUGUGCUUCUAAUGUAGAAGCAAACCAUUUAAUUCUAUUUUUAUAUAGUUAUCAAAAGUUAGAAUGGAUAUAGAAGUACAUUUUCAUUUUCUUGGUGCUUACCAGUGACAUAGGGAUUUCAGUUUCCUUAUGUAAUUACAAAAGUGCCGGCUUUCUCCUUUGCCAAUAAUUUUAUACUUAGAAUUUGGGUGUGAGUAAAUACAACAUGGGGGAGAAUGUUAAAAUUUCUGGUUCAUCACAGAAUUAGCUGAAAAAGAAAAGAUGUGUAUAUUUUAGUUAUUCAGGAUAAAGUUUUAUGUAGUAAUUUUUAAUUCUCCAAGAAACAUAAGUCAAUAAUGUUACCUGGAAGUCAAUCAGUAUAACGAAUAUGCUCAGUUCAUGGUGAUAGUUGCAAAUAAAAAAGAGAAGCUCAUAUUUUUUUUAUCAGUAAUCAGUUAUUUUCCUCCUACACAGGACAUUUGCAAAAUUGUUUGUUACAUUAGUCUUUGGAAAGGCCAUAUUUCAUUGCUGUUUUUUGAACCCUCAUUGUUUCAGCUGCAUUAAUUCUUCUGGUUUCUCUCCACAUUUUAUUUGACAAAACCAGUCACUGAUUGCUCCCUCAAAAGCUGGAAGCACAUGAUAGGUAGACAUGCCUAUAACUUCAGCAGAGGACAAGAGAGCAAAAUUCUUGGGAGAUAAAAGUAGUUUUAUUUAGAGUGGUAAAACUGAAAUCUUAAAAAUCGGGAAAGUGUUUGGUGAUAUAGUUAUCUGAGAAAAUGAAACAAUAAUGACUUUUGUGAUUCUGACGGAUUAUCACAAAUUUCAAAGAGAAUCCCAGACCAACAUUCUAACAAAUAUUUGUGAUUAUUUGAGUUUCUGUCUGCAUUUUAGCUAAGCUAGAGUAUAUAAUGAUGUAAUAUCCUCUAGAUUGCUGUCACACUGAUGAUGCAAACUGGCAAAAGCUUUACCAGGCAAAGUUUACAAAUAGGCUCUGUCAGUAGUUUCUAAGUAGCAGGAGUCAUCUAAUCAAUCCCAGGGUUUAAAAUAAUAAUAACAUGAACUCUGUGGAAGUAAAAAUCAAUACUAUUA